CACGAGGCACAGAAUCGGCUCUAGAAGUGUUUCAGAAAAUACUGCCCCCAUUUUGUGGUCUGGAGAGAUCCCUGCUAGUCAUCGGCUUCUGGCUUCCCUGCUAUCCUGCUGCCCCACAGAAUGCAGCUACUAAGUGGCCUAAGAGCCAGCACCUUCAUGGAGUGGUGAAGAAGAAAGGCCAUUUGAGGACACAGUGAGAAGAUGAUGAUUAUCUCCAAGCCAGGAAAAGAAGCCUCAGCAGAAACCAAUCCUGACAGAGAGUUUGGGUUUUCAGCCUCUACAACUGUCUGAUUUUACUGACUCAAACUGGGCACAACUCUUGAGGGAGAGGAAAUGGAUAAUGUGGUUUCCUACAACCCUUUUCAAAUGAAGAAUUCUGGGUCUUUUAGAAAAAUUCAGGUUGGGACUGACAAGAUGGCUCAGG